GGGAGGGCUGUCUGGCUAUGACAUCUGUCCCCUCAUUGAUCGAUAGGCUUGAUUUGGUUGAUUUGGCUGGCUGGGAAAGUGUCCCUUUCCUCCCUCACCACACCAUGUGUGUCCCCCCUGACCUUCCCAGAACAGAGGACUGGUCUUAGGUCAAGGAUAUACACUCCUCUGCCAGAACCUCCAAACAAGCCCCCAAGGUCCAAAUUUUUCUUACUUCUAAAAGUUACCUUGGCUUUCCUCAUCUUGCUCCAGCCUAGGCAGGUUGCCUCCUGGGGCUGUUCACA
rnacentral:snRNA from 1 species